CGUUCCGCCGCUGCCCGCGCAGAGCGUGUCCAGCGUUGGGGCCUCGCGCCGCCCGAGGCCACGGGUUCUCUGCCUCGUGCCGACGUUGCCCGGCUUUCCCACUUUCCAGAGCUCUCGGCUAGCAUAGCCAAGGAAAAGCUCCAACGCCAUACUUCUGCUUCCCACUAUAUUAAAAUUCCUCUGAAGAGCAGAAGUGAAAUGAAGCCGUAACCUUGGUUCAGACCCGCCGUUUCCUGUGGCGCCAACAAUGACUUCCCCCGAGAAAGCAGGAGCCCUCCUGAAGCAGAAUCACGCUUGGAACACGGGGAGAAAAUUUGUCAGCCUCGGCCUCAGCAUGUUUCCAUCGGGGCUCUUUCUGGGAAGAACACUCCAAGUAUCAGACCUUCUACUACCAUCAGGAAAGAACUCUGGAUGCUGUUCUGAACUAGAGGAAAAGCAGUACCAGGCAGGUGUGCUCACUGUGGCUGGCACACAUUAUGCUGACUACGCAACAAUAAUGGGGACGGUCUCAGAGGCUGCUGAGGAUCCACCAGGUAACGCGGAGAAGCGACUGCCAUCAUGGUGCCCUGAGCAGGCACUCAGUGCUCAUAGCUCUCACACUGUUACCACUAACAACUCAACAUCUCUCUAGGGUGCUCCUCAUCUGCCCACCACCUGCCUUGACCUUCAGCACACCUGCACCUUCCACAGAGGACUUACCCCAGAGCGGGGGAAGAUGGGAGGGAAGAAGGGAGACAGCCUCCAGUGUCCGCUUGGGCCUGGGUCCCAGUGAAGGCUUCUUGGCUGCCCACUGGCU